rnacentral:rRNA from 1 species
AGCAGCCGCGGUAAUUCCAGCUCCAAUAGCGUAUAUUAAAGUUGUUGCAGUUAAAAAGCUCGUAGUUGAAUUUCGGGAUUCUACCGUCGGUCGGGCUACCAAGUCUGUACUGGUGUGUAGAAUUCCUACCUUCUGGGGAACCAUCAUGUUAUUAAUUUAGCGUGGUGGGAAACCAGGACCUUUACCUUGAAAAAAAUUAGAGUGUUCAAAGCAGGCUUAUGUCUGAAUACAUUAGCAUGGAAUAAUAGAAUAGGACGGUGGUCCUGUUUUGUUGGUUUCUGAAUCACCGUAAUGAUUAAUAGGGAUAGUUGGGGGCAUUAGUAUUCAAUUGUCAGAGGUGAAAUUCUUGGAUUUAUUGAAGACU